GCCCCUGUAGCUCAACGGAUAGAGUACUCGGCUUCGAACCGAGUGGUUGGGGGUUCAAUUCCCUCCAGGGGCA
rnacentral:tRNA from 1 species